rnacentral:rRNA from 1 species
AGUUCGGAUUGCAGGCUGAAACUCGCCUGCAUGAAGUCGGAAUUGCUAGUAAUCGCGGAUCAGCAUGCCGCGGUGAAUACGUUCCCGGGCCUUGUACACACCGCCCGUCACACCAUGGGAGUCGGAAAUGCCCGAAGCCAGUGACCCAACCUUUAAGGAGGGAGCUGUCGAAGGCAGGUCUGGUAACUGGGGUGAAGUCGUAACAAGGUACC